rnacentral:rRNA from 1 species
CCUACGGGAGGCAGCAGUGAGGAAUAUUGGUCAAUGGGCGGAAGCCUGAACCAGCCAAGUCGCGUGAGGGAUUAAGGCCCUGCGGGUCGUAAACCUCUUUUGCCGGGGAGCAGAGGUCCGGACGUGUCCGGGCCGGGAGAGUACACGGAGAAAAAGCAUCGGCUAACACCGUGCCAGCAGCCGCGGUAAUACGGGGGAUGCGGGCGUUAGCCGGAUUUAUUGGGUUUAAAGGGUGCGUAGGCGGGCAUUUAAGCCGGCGGUCAAAUGUCGGGGCGCAACCCCGGCCUGCCGUCGGAACUGGGUGCCUUGAGUGGGCGAGGAGUAUGCGGAAUGCGUGGUGUAGCGGUGAAAUGCAUAGAUAUCACGCAGAACCCCGAUUGCGAAGGCAGCAUACCGGCGCCCUACUGACGCUGAGGCACGAAAGUGCGGGUAUCGAACAGGAUUAGAUACACCGGUAGUC